rnacentral:rRNA from 1 species
CAAGUAAAUAAAAGCUUACGAUGGAUACCUUGGCAUUUAGAAGCGAUGAAGGGCGUGACUACCAACGAAAUAUUUCGGUAAGCUGGAAGUAAGCUAUAACCCGGAAGUACCCGAAUAAGGAAACUUUAAAUACUGUCUAUUGAAUUUAUAAAUAGAUAAGAGCUAACUUAGUGAACUGAAAUAUCUUAUUAGCUAAAGGAAAAAAAAGCAAAAGCGAUUCUCUUAGUAGUGACGAGCAAAAUGAGAAUAGCCUAAACCACUUUAAUGAGUUCUAGUGGGGUAGCGGGACAACAAUAAAUUAAAAAUUAUGAGUUAUAUGAAUCAAUUGGAAUCUUGUACCAGAGAAGGUGAAAGUCCUGUAAUUUAAAGCUAAAAAAUUAGAUAGUUGUAUCCCAAGUAACAUAAGACACGAGAAAUUUUGUGUGAAUCAGCGAGGACCACCUCGUAAGGCUAAAUAUUACUAAAUGACCGAUAGUGAACUAGUACCGUGAGGGAAAGGUGAAAAGAAUCCCGAGAGGGAAGUGAAAUAGAGCAUGAAAUCGUUAGCUUACAAGCAGCAGAAGAAUGACUAAUCAUUUAACUGUGUGCAUGUUGAAGAAUGAGCCGACGACUUAUAAGUAGUGGCAGGUUAAAAUAUUGAAUAUUGGAGCCAUAGUGAAAGCGAGCUUUAAAAGAGCGUUAGUCAUUGUUUAUAGACCCGAACCCGAAUGAUCUAACCAUGGCCAGGAUGAAUUUUAAGUAACAUUAAGUGAAGGUCCGAACCGACUGAUGUUGAAAAAUCAGCGGAUGAGCUGUGGUUAGCGGUGAAAUGCCAAUCGAAUUCGGAGCUAGCUGGUUCUCCCCGAAAUGUGUUUUGGCGCAGCGGUUGAUGCUAUAGCUUAGGGGUAAAGCACUGUUUUUAUGUAGGCUAUGAAAGUAGUACAAAAUAAAUGCAAACUCUGAAUACUAAGCGUGUAGUCAACUAGUGAGACAAUGGGGGAUAAGCUUCAUUGUCAAAAGGGAAACAGCCCAGACCACCAUUUAAGGCCCUUAAAUAAUUACUAAGUGAUAAAGGAAGUAGAAUUGUUUAUACACCCAGGAGGUUUGCUUAGAAGCAGCAAUCCUUUAAAGAAUGCGUAAUAGCUCACUGGUUAAGUGAUUUUGCACCGAAAAUGAAUGGGACUAAGUAAUUUGCCGAAGAUGUGGGAUGUUUAUAUCGGUAGGGGAGCGUUCUGUUGUAGUUUGAAGCAUUAAUGAAAAUGAGUGUGGACGAAUCAGAAGUGAGAAUGUCGGCUUGAGUAGCGAAAACAUUGGUGAGAAUCUAAUGCCCCGAAAACCUAAGGUUUCCUUUGAUAGGUUCGUCCGCGAAGGGUGAGUCAAGGCCUAAGGCAAGGUUGAAAAACGUAGUUGAUGGAUAACAGGUUAAUAUUCCUGUACUGUUUAUUAUUGAUAUUAAGGGACGAAGAAGGCUAAUUCAUCCGGGUAUUGGUUACCGGUUUAAACUUAUAAGGUGAAGAAGAAUAGAGAAAAUAUUCUAAGCUAAAAAGUUAAUACAAGAUAUUAUAUUAUUAAAGUGAUUGAUGUCAUACUUCCAAGAAAAUCUUAUCAUAUCUUAAAUAAUAAACACUUGUACCUUAAACUGACACAGGUAGGUAAGUAGAGUAUACUAAGGGGCGCGAGAUAACUCUCUCUAAGGAACUCGGCAAAAUAGCCCUGUACCUUCGGAAGAAAGGGUGCCUUUAAUAAGGUUGCAAUAAAUAGGCCCAAGCGACUGUUUACUAAAAACACAGGUCUCCGCGAAGUCGUAAGACAAUGUAUGGGGACUGACGCCUGCCCAGUGCCGGAAGGUUAAAGAAAUUGGUUAGUAAUUUUACAAAGCUAAUAACUGAAGCCUCGGUUAACGGCGGCCGUAACUAUAACGGUCCUAAGGUAGCGAAAUUCCUUGUCGGGUAAGUUCCGACCUGCACGAAAGGCGUAACGACUUGGGCACUGUCUCAGAGAGAGACUCGGCGAAAUAGAAUUGUCUGUGAAGAUGCGGACUACCUGCACCUGGACAGAAAGACCCUAUGAAGCUUUACUGUAGCUUGAGAUUGAUUUUAGAUUUAUUUUGUGCAGUAUAAGUGGGAGGUAAAGAUGUUGCAUCACAAGAUGUAAAGGAAUCAAUAGUGAGAUACCACUCUAAUUAAAUUAAGGAUCUAAUCUUGAUGCCGUUAACCGGCCAAGAGACAUUUUCAGGUAGUCAGUUUGACUGGGGCGGUCGCCUCCUAAAAAGUAACGGAGGCGUACAAAGGUUUCUUCAGACUGGUCAGAAAUCAGUUUUCGAGUAUAAAGGCAAAAAGAAGCUUGACUGUAAGACCUACAAGUCGAGCAGAGACGAAAGUCGGUCUUAGUGAUCAGACAGUACUGAGUGGAAAGGCUGUCUCUCAACGGAUAAAAGUUACUCUAGGGAUAACAGGCUAAUCUCCCCCAAGAGUUCACAUCGACGGGGAGGUUUGGCACCUCGAUGUCGGCUCAUCGCAUCCUGGGGCAGUAGUAUGUCCCAAGGGUUGGGCUGUUCGCCCAUUAAAGCGGUACGCGAGCUGGGUUUAGAACGUCGUGAGACAGUUCGGUCCAUAUCCGGUGUAGGCGUUAGAGUAUUGAAAGAAUUUUUCCUUAGUACGAGAGGACCAGGAAAAACAUACCGAUGGUAUACCAGUUAUUGCUCCAGCAGUAAACGCUGGGUAGCUAAGUAUGGAUUGGAUAACCGCUGAAAGCAUCUAAGUGGGAAGCCUACCUUAAGAUGAAUACUCUUAAUAAGAUUACGGUAAGAUUAACCGUUUGAUAGGCGUUAAGUAUAAUUAUAGUAAUAUAUUUAGCUAAGACGUACUAAUAAAUCAAUAGCUUGAUAAAA